rnacentral:rRNA from 1 species
CAAUAGCGUAUAUUUAAGUUGCUGCAGUUAAAAAGCUCGUAGUUGGAUUUCGGGUGGGAAUGGCCGGUCCGCCGUUUCGGUGUGCACUUGCUACGCCCACCUUGCUGCCGGGGACGUGCUCUUGAGUUCACGCUCGGGACACGGAGUCGGCGAGGUUACUUUGAGUAAAUUAGAGUGUUCAUAGCAGGCCUACGCUCUGAAUACAUUAGCAUGGAAUAACACGAUAGGACUCUGGCCUAUCUUGUUGGUCUGUAGGACCGGAGUAAUGAUUAAGAGGGACAGUCGGGGGCAUUCGUAUUUCAUUGUCAGAGGUGAAAUUCUUGGAUUUAUGAAAGACGAACUACUGCGAAAGCAUUUGCCAAGGAUGUUUUCAUUAA